rnacentral:misc_RNA from 1 species
AAGUCGUAACAAGGUUUCCGUAGGUGAACCUGCGGAAGGAUCAUUAAUGAUUGGUGGCUGUUGCUGACUAGUGUUUCUAGUAUGUGCACGCCACACCUUCAAUCCCACUUACACCUGUGCACCAUGGGAGGGCCGUCAGUGUUCUCCCCUUUUUCAUAUAAACACAAAGUUAUAUGCAUGUCUUAUUACUCUACGGAGUUAUAAAAUGUAACAACUUUCAACAACGGAUCUCUUGGCUUUC